AUGCUCUUGGUGUCUUGUUCAGUGACUGUGGUGGUCUUGCUGAUAACUGUGAGAAGGACGAAUGGAUACUCAGUUACACAGACAGAGGGACCAGUUAUCCUCUCUGAGGGCUCAUCUCUGACCCUGAACUGCAACUACCAAGCCAACUAUUUGGAUGUCCUUUUCUGGUACGUCCAGUAUCUCAAUCAAGGUCCUCAGCUUCUGUUGAAAAGUGGAGCAGAAAACCAGAGAAUGGAGCAUGAAGGUUUUCACGCCACUCUUGUCAACAAGGACUACUCCUUCCACCUGCACAAAUCCUCACUGCAGUUAUCAGACUCAGCUGUGUACUACUGUGCUGUGGGAGACACAGUGAGAGGAACCACAGGGGGAGCCGAGCACAAACCCAGAGGCGUGCAGCUGGGGCUGGGGGUGGCAGCCCCGGGAGGGGAGAGCUAG